rnacentral:pre_miRNA from 1 species
GCUUGCCUAUUUGUGGAUGGCAUUCAGUACCAAGGACAGGUAUGUUUGCCUACCUGUGGAUGGCGACAAACACCAGGGACAGGUAUGUUUACAU